rnacentral:rRNA from 1 species
UAUCUCUGUAGAGUCUGCAUAUCAAUAAGCGGAGGAAAAGAAACUAACUAGGAUUCCCUCAGUAACGGCGAGUGAAGCGGGAAGAGCUCAAAUUUGAAAUCUUCAAGGUUCUACCUUGACGAAUUGUAGUUUAAAGAAGUGUUUUCUGUUGGAGUUUUGGUAAAAGUUCUUUGGAAUAGGGACAUCAUAGAGGGUGAGAAUCCCGUAUUUGACCAUUAUUUCCAGCUUUGUGAUACACUUUCGAAGAGUCGGAUUGUUUGGGAAUGCAGUCCAAAAUGGGUGGUAAAUUUCAUCUAAAGCUAAAUACUGGCGAGAGACCGAUAGCGAACAAGUACCGUGAGGGAAAGAUGAAAAGAACUUUGAAAAGAGAGUUAAACUGUACGUGAAAUUGUCAAAAGGGAAGCGUUUGACACCAGUGUUGUUUUCUCGAAAAUCAAUUAAAAAAGGCAGGAUUUUGUGUUGUAUUGACUUUAUCAGCUUUCUGCACUCUUUUCUUGUCUUUUUUAAUGCACUUUUCGUUUAACAAGUCAACAUCAAUUUCUUUUGUUGUAAAAGGGUCAUUGGAAGGUGGCUUUCUUUUCGGAGAAAGUGUUUAUAGCCUUUGGCCUCUGCAAUCGGAGAGAUUGAGGUCUGCAGCGUAGAUCCUUCGGGGUUAGAUACAUUUGUGCUAAGUUAUAGCCUUUCAUAGACAACUUGUUGACUAUGAUCAGUCAUGUAGCUUACUCGCUUAUGCUAUUUUACCUACGCUUAGGAUGUUGACGAUCAGCUGAGCGCG